rnacentral:rRNA from 1 species
UACGAAGGGUGCAAGCGUUACUCGGAAUUACUGGGCGUAAAGCGUGCGUAGGCGGUUUGUUAAGUCUGUCGUGAAAGCCCCGGGCUCAACCUGGGAAUGGCGAUGGAUACUGGCGAGCUAGAGUACGGUAGAGGAGAGUGGAAUUCCCGGUGUAGCAGUGAAAUGCGUAGAUAUCGGGAGGAACACCUGAGGCGAAGGCGGGCUACUGGGCCGAUACUGACGCUGAUGUGCGAAAGCGUGGGGAGCAAACAGG